UGUAAGCGCAUACCAAAGUUGUUGCAGUUAAAACGCUCGUAGUCGGAAUUUGGCAGUUCCGGAUGUGUGCACGUCGUGUGCGCACUUCGCGGGGAUUGCUUUUGUGGUCUUGCGUAGGAUGAGGCACUUUUAUUAGUGAACGUCCUCACGCAACCACUUUUUACUGUGAGAAAAUCAGAGUGCUCAAAGCAGGCAUUUGCCGUGAAUGUAUUAGCAUGGAAUAAUAGAAUAGGACUUGGUUCUAUUUUGUUGGUUUGUUGGGACUGAGUAAUGAUUAAGAGGGACAGUUGGGGGCAUUUGUAUUUCGGUGCUAGAGGUGAAAUUCUUAGAUUACCGAAAGACAAACUGCUGCGAAAGCGUCUGCCAAGGAUGUUUUCAUUGA
rnacentral:rRNA from 1 species